GUAACUCUAGACUUUUCCCCCGUGCGCGCGCCUGCACCGCGCGAGCCAAUUUUUAUAGCCCCCGCGCGCUCCCUCUCGUCCCGCGCGAGCCAGGCUGCCCAGAAACGGAUUUCAUUUACGUUUCCGGCAGAUAGGCUCCGCCGGGCCUUUUGCAUGCCUCAGGUGCCAGGUCGAGUGCAGGCAAAGCAAACUCCCGAAACCUGCGUCCCGUGGACCAGGCUGGGCCAAAUGCAAACCGCCCCAGGUGUCUCGAGAGGAAGCUUCGUCCUCGCCGCGACCCGCGCGGAC
rnacentral:lncRNA from 1 species